rnacentral:rRNA from 1 species
AGUGAACGCUGGCGGUAGGCCUAACACAUGCAAGUCGAACGGCAGCACAGUAAGAGCUUGCUCUUCCGGGUGGCGAGUGGCGGACGGGUGAGGAAUACAUCGGAAUCUACUUUUUCGUGGGGGAUAACGUAGGGAAACUUACUCUAAUACCGCAUACGACCUACGGGGGAAAGCAGGGGAUCUUCGGACCUUGCGCGGUUGAAUGAGCCGAUGUCGGAUUAGCUGGUUGGCAGGGUAAAGGCCCACCAAGGCGACGAUCCGUAGCUGGUCUGAGAGGCUGAUCAGCCACGCUGGAACUGAGACACGGUCCAGACUCCUACGGGAGGCAGCAGUGGGGAAUAUUGGACAAUGGGCGCAAGCCUGAUCCAGCCAUACCGCGUGGGUGAAGAAGGCCUUCGGGUUGUAAAGCCCUUUUGUUGGGAAAGAAAAGCAGCAGGUUAAUACCCCGCUGUUCUGACGGUACCCAAAGAAUAAGCACCGGCUAACUUCGUG